GCUCUUGCUCCAGCAGUACUUUCCAGAGAUGGUAUUGGUGCCUUCGGGAACUCUGAGACAGGUGCUGCAUGGCUGUCGUCAGCUCGUGUUGUGAAAUGUUGGGUUAAGUCCCGCAACGAGCGCAACCCUUAUCCUUUGUUGCCAGCGGUCCGGCCGGGAACUCAAAGGAGACUGCCAGUGAUAAACUGGAGGAAGGUGGGGAUGACGUCAAGUCAUCAUGGCCCUUACGAGUAGGGCUACACACGUGCUACAAUGGCGCAUACAAAGAGAAGCGACCUCGCGAGAGCAAGCGGACCUCAUAAAGUGCGUCGUAGUCCGGAUUGGAGUCUGCAACUCGACUCCAUGAAGUCGGAAUCGCUAGUAAUCGUAGAUCAGAAUGCUACGGUGAAUACGUUCCCGGGUCUUGUACACACCGA
rnacentral:rRNA from 2 species